rnacentral:rRNA from 1 species
GUCGUCCUCCGGGGAAGUUGGUCCGUGGACCAGGAAAGUCGCUUCUCGGGCAAAGAUGGGUGUAGGGCAUUAGUUGAAACUUAAUCCCCCUCGCCUGUGGCGCUGGUGUGAGGUCCUGGUUUGAGAAGACAAUUGCGUUUGAAGGCGUGAACUCCAUUGCCGGCGAUGGAGUUCCUGAUGCAAACAAUUAGCAGUGCCCGGAUCCAGAUUCCCCUUGAUCUUGAUUGAAGAGGUGGAGCCCCGAUGGGUCUGGCGCCGUACGUCGCGAGAGUUGCAGCCCAGCCUGCGGACCAAGACCCGGGCGGAGCCGCAAGUGAGCGCAGAUCUGGGAGCGAGAAAACGGUCGGGCGGAUACGCGCGAGUCCUCACCACAGGCAUCUGAACUCUCCAGUGCCAAGAAGAACCCGCAGGCACCUGGCUGGGCUAAGAGGUGCGUUCGAUCGUACACCAAGAGUGCCUGUAUGCUGCGUAACAGCGUCGAGUGCCUGUUGAUCUGCGUGAGAUUUGUGCUCUAAUUUGUGGGUUCGCACUGCUUAAAAUCAGUCCAACCACAGGAGACAGUUAGAACAAUUUGGGUCCUUUACCAUAGUUUUGGGUUAUGAUAGAAUAAUUAGUACUUGUAUAAGUGUGUUAUUACUGGAAGGUAGAACUGAGUGAGGCUGGGUGCAGCGACUAAUUUAGCAAAUAUUGUGUAGUGUGAAUGGGCUGAGCAAGUUCUUUUGGCAUGAAGGAUGAGGAUGUAAGAUCCUCUGAAUAUCUUGAUGGUGAGAUACUGGAGCAGUUGGAUCAUUAAAUAUAGCCAUGGGAUUUGUUAGUCCGUUUUUUUGUAACUGAAUGUGCUUGCAUUAGGCUGUGAGCUUUGUACUAAAAUCCGCGCGUAUGAUUCGACAUGUUCGGUUGAGUAGAGUUCUGACUGUAAUUGUUUUGUAGAGGUUAGUAGUGUUUGGACUGUUGGUUAUCAUUCUCGAAUAAGGCAUUCAUAUCAAUCUCUGCACCUGCCAGAAAUAAAAAAUGUGGAAUGUAUGGGUUUUUUCCGUUUCCUUUGUGAUUUUUGUGUACCCUGUAGACAUAAUUCUAUUUUCCGCACAUUGAAAAUGUCAAACAAUGUUUCUUUGUUGUGAAGAAACUCUCUUGCAGGUUGAGGUUUGUUGCAGCAGCCCCUAGUAGGAUGCUCUGCCCGGUGAGGGCUUGUUCUGUUAGACCCGACUGGGGUUCGAAACCCGAUCUGGCUUGUAACAGGCUUCGGUUAUACCUCGUCCAGUACGAGAGGAGGAGAGGCGUGAGCGACGGCGGGCCUGCAGCAGAUCCACAUGCGCGGCGGCCUUCUCCGGCGCGAGCACGAUGGGAGCGGACGGCAGCAGCGUGCCCCAGAGGCGUCCUACUAUUGCGUCCGAGAGAGGUGACGACGGCGUCCACACCUACGAUGUUGGAUUUCUCGCUGCAAGGCCACAAGAGGACAACAUGCCCAGACCGGGGCGAUGUUCCAAAACCAGUAAGGAGACCUGCUCGAUGCAAGAACUGUGGUGUGGAAGGCCAUAUAGGCAUAACAAGUGCCACAAGGUUGGGGAGCUACGCCUAAGCAAUGUAUGAUAAUGGAACUCUUAGACAGGUAGUGCCUGGGUUCAGUGCAGUGUGAUGUGUGCGCUGUGUGUGUACAUGGCCUGGUAGUUGGCACCUAAGAUUGCGGUCGAAACUACUCCCUCCGUCCCAUAAUGUAAGACGUUUUUUGGCACUACACUAGA